rnacentral:rRNA from 1 species
UACGUAGGGCGCAAGCGUUAUCCGGAAUUAUUGGGCGUAAAGAGCUCGUAGGCGGUUUGUCGCGUCUGCCGUGAAAGUCCGGGGCUCAACUCCGGAUCUGCGGUGGGUACGGGCAGACUAGAGUGAUGUAGGGGAGACUGGAAUUCCUGGUGUAGCGGUGAAAUGCGCAGAUAUCAGGAGGAACACCGAGGGCGAAGGCAGGUCUCUGGGCAUUAACUGACGCUGAGGAGCGAAAGCAUGGGGAGCGAACAGG